GGAUGAUUGCUGCAACUGGCAGACAGGCAUGACUAAGGAUCAUGUGCCGAAAGGCAUUGUGGGUUCGAUCCCCACAUCAUCUA
rnacentral:tRNA from 1 species